rnacentral:rRNA from 1 species
UCCGAAGGGGGCGAGCGUUGUUCGGAAUUACUGGGCGUAAAGGGCGCGUAGGCGGCCCUGGAAGUCAGGCGUGAAAGCCCCGGGCUCAACCUGGGAAUUGCGCUUGAUACUCUGGGGCUUGAGUUCGGGAGAGGAGAGUGGAAUUCCCAGUGUAGAGGUGAAAUUCGUAGAUAUUGGGAAGAACACCGGUGGCGAAGGCGGCUCUCUGGACCGAGACUGACGCUGAGACUCGAAAGCAUGGGGAGCAAACAGG